rnacentral:rRNA from 1 species
GUCGAACGGUGAACUUGGAGCUUGCUCCUAGGGAUCAGUGGCGAACGGGUGAGUAACACGUGAGUAACCUGCCCCAGACUCUGGAAUAAGCGCUGGAAACGGCGUCUAAUACCGGAUACCAGACAGAGAGGCAUCUCUACUGUCUGGAAAGUUUUUCGGUCUGGGAUGGACUCGCGGCCUAUCAGCUUGUUGGUGAGGUAAUGGCUCACCAAGGCGACUACGGGUAGCCGGCCUGAGAGGGCGACCGGCCACUCUGGGACUGAGACACGGCCCACACUCCUACGGGAGGCAGCAGUGGGGAAUAUUGCACAGUGGGCGAAAGCCUGAUGCACCGACCCCGCGUGAGGGAUGACUGCCUUCGGGUUGUAAACCUCUUUCAGCAGGGAAGAAUCGAAAGUGACGGUACCUGCAGAAGAAGCACCGGCUAACUACGUGCCAGCAGCCGCGGUAAUACGUAGGGUGCGAGCGUUGUCCGGAAUUAUUGGGCGUAAAGAGCUUGUAGGCGGUUUGUCGCGUCUGCUGUGAAAAUCCGGGGCUCAACCCCGGACUUGCAGUGGGUACGGGCAGACUAGAGUAUGGUAGGGGAGACUGGAAUUCCUGGUGUAGCGGUGAAAUGCGCAGAUAUCAGGAGGAAC